UUAGGGUUAGAUUUUAAGCUUAGGUUAAGGUUAAGGUUAGGGUUAGGUGUAGGGUUCGAUUUUCUGGUUGAUUAAGGGUUAAGGUUAGGGUUAGGUGUAGGGUUAGAUUUUAGGGUUGAUUAAUGGUUAAGGUUAGGGUUAGGUGUAGGGUUAGAUUUUAGGGUUGAUUAAGGGUUAAGUUUAGGGUUAGGUGUAGGGUUAGAUUUUAUGGUUGAUUAAGGGUUAAGGUUAGGGUUAGGUGUAGGGUUAGAUUUUAGGGUUGAUUAAGGGUUAAGUUUAGGGUUAGGUGUAGGGUUAGAUUUUAUGGUUGAUUAAGGGUUAAGGUUAGGGUUAGGUGUAGGGUUAGAUUUUAUGGUUGAUUAAGGGUUAAGGUUAGGGUUGGGUGUACAGUUAGGUUCUAUUUUGAAUCAUUUACAUUCAACAUAGGGUUAAG